rnacentral:rRNA from 1 species
AGGGUUUGAUUAUGGCUCAGAUUGAACGCUGGCGGCAGGCCUAAUACAUGCAAGUCGAACGGUAACAUAAUAAAAGCUUGCUUUUAUUGAUGACGAGUGGCGGACGGGUGAGUAAUAUCUGGGAAACUGCCUGACAGAGGGGGACAACAACUGGAAACGGUUGCUAAUACCGCAUACACCCUGAGGGGGAAAGUCGCAAGACGCUGUCAGAUGUGCCCAGAUGGGAUUAGCUAGUAGGUGAGGUAAAGGCUCACCUAGGCGACGAUCUCUAGCUGGUCUGAGAGGAUGAUCAGCCACAUUGGGACUGAGACACGGCCCAG